rnacentral:lncRNA from 1 species
UAUAAUGCUUAUAAGCAAACGUUAUGACGAGCGCAGAACUGUGCAUAACUAAAUGUCGUAAAGGUGCUAAAUUCAGGCUUGGUCUGCUACCUGCACUUCAGUUCUGCAUUAAGCAUAAAUGUUUAUCCUUUGUCGGUUGGACCCGCCGGAAGAAGAUAUGUCGGCAUUUGCGGGGCCCCCUAUCACCAGUUAAAAAUUGCGCCCGGAAGUAACCCUUGCACAGCGGCGACUAACGAAUGAAAUAUUGUAAUUGUUACCUGUGUGUGUGAUUGUUACAGUGGGCUCCAGACUUACCUGUUACUCCGCGGAUGAACGCUGUCCCAUCAGCGUGCUUAUGUUUCGUCUUCAGAGGCUCUAAAGAGUUGAUGUGCUUACCGCUCUUUAGCAGACGACAUUCCACAGUUUAAUGAUGCUAAGAUGGUCUCGUAGCACGUUCAAUGUGAUCCUGCAAAAUUACUGUUCCUGAAACUGAGCGAAAGCCGGUUGGGACAUGCGAUAUGCCGGGAUUUGUGCGAGAGAACUUAGCGAAAGCAUUGGUUCUAACCCCCUUCGCUUAUAGAGCCUCGCCACCUGAUCAAAUGGCGGUAUCUGGCAUGCGAAAGCACGGAUGUUGCAGGCUUUUUGACCAAAUCUACAGAUGUUCAUGACUUUUGUUGUGCACGUAACAAGCAUAUUUAAGCACAUACAUGGCAACUCCACGACGUGUUCGAUAAAGGUUGCGAAGUUCUGUGGAAAUAAUUUUUCUUGGAAAGAGUUCCGGAUGU